UGGUCAAGUUAUUAAGGGUGCAGGGCGGAUGCCUUGGCACUAGGAGCCGAUGAAGGACGUGAUAAGCUGCGAUAAGCUUCGGGGAGUUGCACGUAAACUUUGAUCCGAAGAUUUCCGAAUGAGGAAACUCACUUAGAGUAAUGUCUAAGUAUCAUUAAGUGAAUACAUAGCUUAAUGAGGGGAACUCAGGGAACUGAAACAUCUAAGUACCUGAAGGAAGAGAAAGAAAUUCGAUUCCGUAAGUAGCGGCGAGCGAACGCGGAUUAGCCCAAACCAAUAAAGUUUUCUUUAUUGGGGUUGCGGACAUAUCAUAACGAAGAGGUAUCGUAAUUGAAGAGG
rnacentral:rRNA from 1 species